UACGGAGGAGGCAAGCGUUAUCCGGAAUUAUUGGGCGUAAGGCGUCCGUAGGUGGUUAGCCAAGUCAGCUGUUAAAGCGUGGAGCUUAACUCCAUAAAGGCAGUUGAAACUGGUUAGCUAGAGUGCGGCAGAGGAGACUAGAAUUCCUGGUGUAGCAGUGAAAUGCGUAGAUAUCAGGAGGAAUACCGAUGGCGAAGGCAGGACUCUGGGCUGACACUGACGCUCAUGCACGAAAGCGUGGGGAGCAAACAGG
rnacentral:rRNA from 1 species